GUGAGGAAUUUUCCGCAAUGGGCGAAAGCCUGACGGAGCAAUGCCGCGUGAGGGAUGAAGGCCUAUGGGUUGUAAACUUCUUUUCUCAGAAAAGAAUUAUGACGGUAUCUGAGGAAUAAGCAUCGGCUAACUCUGUGCCAGCAGCCGCGGUAAGACAGAGGAUGCAAGCGUUAUCCGGAAUGAUUGGGCGUAAAGCGUCUGUAGGUUGUUUAAAAAGUAUUCUGUCAAAGAUUAGGGCUUAACCCUAGAUAGGCAGAAUAAACUUUUAAGCUAGAGUUUGGUAGAGGCAGAGGGAAUUCCCGGUGGAGCGGUGAAAUGCGUAGAUAUCGGGAGGAACACCAAAGGCGAAGGCACUCUGCUGGGCCAAUACUAACACUGAGAGACGAAAGCGAGGGGAGCAAAUGGGAUUAGAUACCCCAGUAGUCC
rnacentral:rRNA from 1 species